GUGGGGAAUAUUGCACAAUGGGCGCAAGCCUGAUGCAGCGACGCCGCGUGGGGGAUGACGGCCUUCGGGUUGUAAACCUCUUUCAGUAGGGACGAAGCGCAAGUGACGGUACCUACAGAAGAAGGACCGGCCAACUACGUGCCAGCAGCCGCGGUAAUACGUAGGGUCCGAGCGUUGUCCGGAAUUACUGGGCGUAAAGAGCUCGUAGGUGGUUUGUCGCGUUGUUCGUGAAAACCGGGGGCUUAACCCUCGGCGUGCGGGCGAUACGGGCAGACUGGAGUACUGCAGGGGAGACUGGAAUUCCUGGUGUAGCGGUGGAAUGCGCAGAUAUCAGGAGGAACACCGGUGGCGAAGGCGGGUCUCUGGGCAGUAACUGACGCUGAGGAGCGAAAGCGUGGGGAGCGAACAGG
rnacentral:rRNA from 1 species